rnacentral:rRNA from 1 species
GAACUUAGCAGAGAUGCUUUGGUGCCUUCGGGAACUCUGAGACAGGUGCUGGCAUGGCUGUCGUCAGCUCGUGUUGUGAAAUGUUGGGUUAAGUCCCGCAACGAGCGCAACCCUUAUCCUUUGUUGCCAGCGGUUAGCCGGGAACUCAAAGGAGACUGCCAGUGAUAAACUGGAGGAAGGUGGGGAUGACGUCAAGUCAUCAUGGCCCUUACGGGUAGGGCUACACACGUGCUACAAUGGCGCAUACAAAGAGAAGCGACCUCGCGAGAGCAAGCGGACCUCCAUAAAGUGCGUCGUAGUCCGGAUUGGAGUCUGCAACUCGACUCCAUGAAGUCGGAAUCGCUAGUAAUCGUGGAUCAGAAUGCCACGGUGAAUACGUUCCCGGGCCUUGUACACACCGCCCGUCACACCAUGGGAGUGGGUUGCAAAAGAAGUAGGUAGCUUAACCUUCGGGAGGGCGCUUACCACUUUGUGAUUCAUGACUGGGGUGAAGUCGUAACAAGGUAAGCGUAGAUGA